CUUUUUGACUUCUCUUGACGUUUCGGUCCCUCCCACGCGGUGCUGUUUUUGACAGUCGGGUAUUGCGUUCGAAUAACAACUCAAGCAAGCUAGCUAACUAGCCAUUUAACUGCAUUAGCUAGCUAGCUUGUCAGUGACAGGGUGAUGUGAUAACGACACAAUUAGGUAUGUUUACGAACGGUUGUAUUUAUUGAGUGGAGCAGUUUAAGGAUAAACGAUGGCAUUCUGCUAACAGAAUAUGAACCAACGUUAUACUACAGAACGUCCAAAAGCUGCUCACCGCGUCUUCCCCGGCUCCGUUGUAUAGCUACAAUAGGCUAGCUAAUUAGCCUGCCUAGAGGUUGGCUAACUGUUUUAGCUCCAAAGCUAGCUAGCUAAGUAGUAACGUUAUUGUUUUUGUGCGCGGCAGACCACAGCACCUUUACUGUUUGCAAAGCAGUCAGUCGGCCACCUGUGUCGGAUCCCGACCUGUGGGAAGUUGAAAUUGUCCGUUUGUUUCAAUUGCAUGAGCGCGUACUGAAAAGCCGGAGAGCCCUGCACCUAAUUACCGCUCCCACCACCCACCAGGGCUGUGACUCGACCCGGGAACACUCGGCCGGUCGUUGAGUGUGUGUGUGUGCGUAUCUGAGAGCGAGAGAGCGAGAGCGCGAGCACAAGUGUGUGUGUGUGUGUGCAUAUCUGAGUGCGAGAGCAAAGAGCGCGAGCACAAGUGUGUGUGUGUGUGUGUGCGUAUCUGAGUGCGAGAGCGAGAGAGCGAGAGAGAGAGCGCGAGCACAAGUGUGUGUGUGUAUCUGAGUGCGAGAGAGAGAGCGCGAGCACAAGUGUGUGUGUGUGUGUGCGUAUCUGAGAGCGAGAGAGAGAGCGCGAGAGAGCACGAGCACAAGUGUGUGUGGCGGUCCCAGGAUGCCACAGUAGUGGCAGCGGAAGGGCUGGUCCAUUGAGCUGCGGAUUCCGCCUGGUCCUUUCUCUCGUUAUGGAAUGCCUGUGCCCUGCCCCCUGGCCCCCCUGCCCUCUGUAGGAUCCUCCCUCGGUCACCCCUGGCACCGGACACUGGCACUGCACCCAGCCGACCGCUUCUCGACUAUCCCCGGCUCCUGUGGGUUUUCGGUGCCCGCGUUCUCGCCCCCCUCCUCACCCCGGGGAAGAUGUCUCUGAGCUUGGGGCCGGACAUCCAGCAGGAGGGGGAGACGGGCCCACUCGCUGACACGGGGGCAAGUAGCAAGUGCAAAGCCAGUGCCCAGCAGGGCAAGGAGGGCGGAGGAGAUGCCCCUGAGCCCGAGGACAACCUCCAGCAGGACUCUCAGGUG